rnacentral:rRNA from 1 species
CCUACGGGUGGCAGCAGUGGGGAAUAUUGGACAAUGGGCGAAAGCCUGAUCCAGCCAUGCCGCGUGUGUGAAGAAGGCCUUCGGGUUGUAAAGCACUUUCAGUGGGGAAGAAAGCCUUGGGGCUAAUACCCUCGAGGAAGGACAUCACCCACAGAAGAAGCACCGGCUAACUCCGUGCCAGCAGCCGCGGUAAUACGGAGGGUGCGAGCGUUAAUCGGAAUUACUGGGCGUAAAGCGCGCGUAGGCGGUCUGAUAAGCCGGUUGUGAAAGCCCCGGGCUCAACCUGGGAACGGCAUCCGGAACGGUCAGGCUAGAGUGCAGGAGGGGAAGGGAGAAUUCCCGGUGUAGCGGUGAAAUGGGUAGAGAUCGGGAGGAAUACCGGUGGCGAAGGCGGCCUUCUGGACUGACACUGACGCUGAGGUGCGAAAGCGUGGGUAGCAAACAGGAUUAGAUACCCUAGUGUC